rnacentral:rRNA from 1 species
AGAGUUUGAUCCUGGCUCAGAACGAACGCUGGCGGCACGCCUAACACAUGCAAGUCGAGCGCUACCUUCGGGUGGAGCGGCGGACGGGUUAGUAACGCGUGGGAACAUACCCUUUUCUACGGAAUAGCCUCGGGAAACUGAGAGUAAUACCGUAUACGCCCUUCGGGGGAAAGAUUUAUCGGUUAAGGAUUGGCCCGCGUUAGAUUAGAUAGUUGGUGGGGUAAUGGCCUACCAAGUCUACGAUCUAUAGCUGGUUUGAGAGGAUGAUCAGCAACACUGGGACUGAGACACGGCCCAGACUCCUACGGGAGGCAGCAGUGGGGUAUCUUAGACAAUGGGCGCAAGCCUGAUCUAGCGAUGCCGCGUGAGUGACGAAGGUCUUAGGAUCGUAAAGCUCUUUCGCCAAGGAUGAUAAUGACAGUACUUGGUAAAGAAACCCCGGCUAACUCCGUGCCAGCAGCCGCGGUAAUAAGGGCGAAUUC